rnacentral:rRNA from 1 species
AGUGAACGCUGGCGGUAGGCCUAACACAUGCAAGUCGAACGGCAGCACAGUAAGAGCUUGCUCUUACGGGUGGCGAGUGGCGGACGGGUGAGGAAUACAUCGUAAUCUACUUUUUCGUGGGGGAUAACGUAGGGAAACUUACGCUAAUACCGCAUACGACCUACGGGUGAAAGCAGGGGAUCUUCUGACCUUGCGCGAUUGAAUGAGCCGAUGUCGGAUUAGCUAGUUGGCGGGGUAAAGGCCCACCAAGGCGACGAUCCGUAGCUGGUCUGAGAGGAUGAUCAGCCACACUGGAACGGAGACACGGUCCAGACUCCUACGGGAGGCAGCAGUGGGGAAUAUUGGACAAUGGGCGCAAGCCUGAUCCAGCCAUACCGCGUGGGUGAAGAAGGCCUUCGGGUUGUAAAGCCCUUUUGUUGGGAAAGAAAAGCAGCAGGUUAAUACCCCGCUGUUCUGACGGUACCCAAAGAAUAAGCACCGGCUAACUUCGUG